rnacentral:lncRNA from 1 species
UAGAACCUAAUCAGCACUAACUAUAUGGGUGGGUUUUUGACAUUUUGAGAGUAUUAUCAUGAUUUAGAACAUGGUUGUUCAAGAAGGACAUAAGUCAGAAAAAUAGUAUAUAUGAGGAGUGACAGGAAUCUAUAUAUUAUAAACAUUGAGCUACAUCUCACAUGCCUUUCGGGAAUGGAAGUCCACAUUCCCCUUGGCUUCAUUGGUUUAACAAGAAUAGGUAAUGUACAGUCUUCAAAAUACAUUGAGGUCAUUCUCCAAACAGGAGAAGAUUAGAUAUGGGGAGAAGAAACAGUGUCUCUGAUACAGAAAAAAAGUCAACAUUAUUUUUUAACUCUUUGUCAAGUUAUCUAGAGUUAUCUUAGCAGUAGAAGCAUUACCUGUUCGGUGUUCUUCUUUGCACAGCUUAGUAUUUUUGCAUGUAUAAAGUAAUAAACAUCUACUGUGUAAUUUUAGUUACUGUAUUUAUGCAGAUUAAUAUAGUGUUGCCCUCCAAUUCUUUCCUGUUACAACCUGCAGUGCCUUGAUAUUCUCUACACUCUUGAAGGUGAAGUGGAGACUGGGUUUUCAAACUGUUCACUUCAGAUAGCUCAAUGUCUCAAAGGAUUCUUCUGAUUUCAAUGACAUGACAAAACAUCCCAUGACUCUUCUCUAAGGGAUGUGAAUAUCUUUAUAACAAUGGGGAAAAUGCAGCUUUAGCUACAUUAUCUAAUGCCAGGGCAUUACUAUGAUCGAUUCACAUUGUAAAUGAGCAAAGUUAACUCUAUGCCAUAAAGAAUAAAGGCAUUUUCAUGUCCUAUGAAAAUAGAUACCUCUAAGACUUUCACUCUUUUGUCCAGGUAUGUAUUAGGAAAUCACUUCUUACAUGUUUGCUGAAUUUUGGGUGCUGAAUAAAAUUGCUUCAUUUUUUUCUCCUAAGCACUGGUGCACAAAAUCAAGAAUUAAUCAUACACU